UUUGAGUACAUUCAUUUUGUGUCACAAACCUCAAAUAUUCAAUCACAAUCCAAAUCAGAGCUGUUUUAAGCUUAAAUGUUGUGUCCAUACUUGCUCAACUUUUGAGGGUUCGACCUAUGCAGGACAAACUGGUUUACUAGUAUGCUGUCACAUUUACAGCCUAUUGUUUUAAUAACAACAAGCCUUAUAGUGCUAGUUCACAAACUUAAGAUUCCACAGGAAGAGAUGUCACCCUAUUUAGUCACAUUAUACUGACUUUCAGCCAUCCAAUCUUUGCGUUUGUUCCCAUAAUUGCCUUUGAUUUGCAAAGUAGCAGCCAAGUCCAAUCUAAAAAGUUUUCAGUUUGACCAAUACAGAUUAUAAACCAAAAUCCUCAUGCACUAUGACAAGUACGCCUAUACAUGAAUAAGGAAGUCAGCUUUAUUUAUCUGAAUCAAUGAAAAAUGAUACUGUACUGAAUAUCCUUUAAAAAAGGAAGCAAGGACAAAAAAAUUUUUUUAAUCAGUAAGUAUAUUGUAACUUUAAAUUUAAAGCUCAUCUGAUCGGGAAAAAUAAAUUGAUUUGAUGUUUUUAAUCACUUUAAUUUCAGUGGAAUGGGACUGACCGUGAGUGUUUACAAUCUCUUGGAAAUAAAACUUUCACAUGCUAACUGUGGAACAUCUUAAAAAUCGAUGACUUAUCAGGUUAUUCUGUAUAGGUAGACCUAUUAUGAUUUUUUAAGAAGAUCGAACCAUAUAAUUCUCUGACAAAGAAAACGACUGUAACAUUCUGCAUUAAACUAAAAAAACAUGCUUAUGCAACAAC
rnacentral:lncRNA from 1 species